AUGCAAUGGUGUGGACACUUCCUUAAGAGCUCUUUAUAUCUCUCUCACAUCUCAUAUAAUGAUUCCUCUUCUUGCUGCGCAAAUGAUGUGAUCUCUCCUCUUAAUUU